UACGUAGGGGGCUAGCGUUGUCCGGAAUCAUUGGGCGUAAAGCGCGUGUAGGCGGUCCGGUAAGUCCGCUGUGAAAGUCGGGGGCUCAACCCUCGAAAGCCGGUGGAUACUGUCGGGCUAGAGUACGGAAGAGGCGAGUGGAAUUCCUGGUGUAGCGGUGAAAUGCGCAGAUAUCAGGAGGAACACCGAGUGGCGAAGGCAAUCCCCUCGGACCUGUACUGACGCUCAUGCACGAAAGCGUGGGAGCAAACAGG
rnacentral:rRNA from 1 species